rnacentral:rRNA from 1 species
AUUGAACGCUGGCGGCAGGCUUAACACAUGCAAGUCGAGCGGGGAAGUAUAGCUUGCUAUACGACCUAGCGGCGGACGGGUGAGUAAUGCUUAGGAAUCUGCCUAUUAGUGGGGGACAACAUUCCGAAAGGAAUGCUAAUACCGCAUACGCCCUACGGGGGAAAGCAGGGGAUCUUCGGACCUUGCGCUAAUAGAUGAGCCUAAGUCAGAUUAGCUAGUUGGUGGGGUAAAGGCCUACCAAGGCGACGAUCUGUAGCGGGUCUGAGAGGAUGAUCCGCCACACUGGGACUGAGACACGGCCCAGACUCCUACGGGAGGCAGCAGUGGGGAAUAUUGGACAAUGGGCGAAAGCCUGAUCCAGCCAUGCCGCGUGUGUGAAGAAGGCCUUUUGGUUGUAAAGCACUUUAAGCGAGGAGGAGGCUACUUGGAUUAAUACUCUAGGAUAGUGGACGUUACUCGCAGAAUAAGCACCGGCUAACUCUGUGCCAGCAGCCGCCGUAACAC